AUGUACCCAUCAGUAAUACAACUAUGUAUUGUGCGAUCUGUGCAAGACAUGUUAGCUGGAUAUUGGCGCACUAGGAAUAAGAAAUAUACGCAUCUGCUAUCUAGUUUCAUUUUGCUACGUGGUCCCACUGACAGCAAUCACAAGAACCUGAAAGUCAUAGAUCUGUUUCAUUGCAGGAUUGGGAGAAGACUGUUGGGUCAGAGAAAAAGGAAGAACGCAAUGGAAACAAGAUGGCUUACAUUUGGGGGAUCUGAUUCCUCAUUGGUUCCGGCAAGAAUUGGUGAAGAAGCCAUCAAGUUCCUCCAGCAAGUCCCUUUGUUGGAUCUGUGUUCAUAG
rnacentral:rRNA from 1 species